GGGCCCGCACAAGCGGUGGAGCAUGUGGUUUAAUUCGAUGCAACGCGAAGAACCUUACCUACCCUUGACUUCUACAGAAGAUUCUAGAGAUAGAAUUGUGCCUUCGGGAACUGUAAGACAGGUGCUGCAUGGCUGUCGUCAGCUCGUGUCGUGAGAUGUUGGGUUAAGUCCCGUAACGAGCGCAACCCCUAUUCCUAGUUGCUAACGGUUCGGCCGAGGACUCUAGGGAGACUGCCGGUGACAAGCCGGAGGAAGGCGGGGAUGAUGUCAAGUCAUCAUGGCCCUUACGGGUAGGGCUACACACGUGCUACAAUGGCCGGUACAGAGGGCAGCUAAGUCGCGAGACGGCGCCAAUCUCAUAAAGCUGGUCGUAGUCCGGAUUGCAGUCUGCAACUCGACUGCAUGAAGUCGGAAUCGCUAGUAA
rnacentral:rRNA from 1 species